ACCUACGGGGCGCAGCAGUAGGGAAUCUUCCACAAUGGGAGAAAGCCUGAUGGAGCAACGCCGCGUGGGUGAAGAAGGUCUUCGGAUCGUAAAACCCUGUUGUUAGAGAAGAAAGUGCGUGAGAGUAACUGUUCACGUUUCGACGGUAUCUAACCAGAAAGCCACGGCUAACUACGUGCCAGCAGCCGCGGUAAUACGUAGGUGGCAAGCGUUAUCCGGAUUUAUUGGGCGUAAAGGGAACGCAGGCGGUCUUUUAAGUCUAAUGUGAAAGCCUUCGGCUUAACCGGAGUAGUGCAUUGGAAACU
rnacentral:rRNA from 1 species